rnacentral:rRNA from 1 species
AGUGAACGCUGGCGGUAGGCCUAACACAUGCAAGUCGAACGGCAGCACAGUAAGAGCUUGCUCUUACGGGUGGCGAGUGGCGGACGGGUGAGGAAUACAUCGGAAUCUACUUUUUCGUGGGGGAUAACGUAGGGAAACUUACGCUAAUACCGCAUACGACCUACGGGUGAAAGCAGGGGAUCUUCGGACCUUGCGCGAUUGAAUGAGCCGAUGUCGGAUUAGCUAGUUGGCGGGGUAAAGGCCCACCAAGGCGACGAUCCGUAGCUGGUCUGAGAGGAUGAUCAGCCACACUGGAACUGAGACACGGUCCAGACUCCUACGGGAGGCAGCAGUGGGGAAUAUUGGACAAUGGGCGCAAGCCUGAUCCAGCCAUACAGCGUGGGUGAAGAAGGCCUUCGGGUUGUAAAGCCCUUUUGUUGGGAAAGAAAAGCAGCAGGUUAAUACCCCGCUGUGCUGACGGUACCCAAAGAAUAAGCACCGGCUAACUUCGUG